GACGAACGCUGGCGGCGUGCCUAAUACAUGCAAGUUGAGCGCUGAAGGUUGGUACUUGUACCAACUGGAUGAGCAGCGAACGGGUGAGUAACGCGUGGGGAAUCUGCCUUUGAGCGGGGGACAACAUUUGGAAACGAAUGCUAAUACCGCAUAAAAACUUUAAACACAAGUUUUAAGUUUGAAAGAUGCAAUUGCAUCACUCAAAGAUGAUCCCGCGUUGUAUUAGCUAGUUGGUGAGGUAAAGGCUCACCAAGGCGAUGAUACAUAGCCGACCUGAGGGGGUGAUCGGCCACAUUGGGACUGAGACACGGCCCAAACUCCUACGGGGGGCAGCAGUAGGGAAUCUUCGGCAAUGGACGAAAGUCUGACCGAGCAACGCCGCGUGAGUGAAGAAGGUUUUCGGAUCGUAAAACUCUGUUGGUAGAGAAGAACGUUGGUGAGAGUGGAAAGCUCAUCAAGUGACGGUAACUACCCAGAAAGGGACGGCUAACUACGUG
rnacentral:rRNA from 1 species